rnacentral:rRNA from 1 species
UACAGGGGGUGCAAACGUUGCUCGGAAUCAUUGGGCGUAAAGGGUGCGUAGGCGGGUCUUAAGUCAGGGGUGAAAUCCUGGAGCUCAACUCCAGAACUGCCUUUGAUACUGAGGAUCUUGAGUUCGGGAGAGGUGAGUGGAACUCCGAGUGUAGAGGUGAAAUUCGUAGAUAUUCGGAAGAACACCAGUGGCGAAGGCGACUCACUGGCCCGAUACUGACGCUGAGGCGGCGAAAAGCGUGGGGAGCAAACAGG